rnacentral:rRNA from 1 species
UACGUAGGGGGCAAGCGUUAUCCGGAUUUACUGGGUGUAAAGGGAGCGCAGGCGGCAGGGCAAGUCAGAUGUGAAAACCCGGGGCUCAACUCCGGGACUGCAUCUGGAACUGUCCAGCUAGAGUGCAGGAGAGGCAGGCGGAAUUCCUAGUGUAGCGGUGAAAUGCGUAGAUAUUAGGAGGAACACCAGUGGUGAAGGCGGCCUGCUGGACUGUAACUGACGCUGAGGCUCGAAAGCGUGGGGAGCAAAC